AUUGCAGCAAGAUUAUUGAUGUUGCAUGUUGCAAGGUCUGUUGUGGCAUUGAUGAUGGUCCAAUGCAGGAUGGUUUUAUGGGGAACUUCCAUACAGAUUGAGCAGAUGAAAGAUAUUGGGUUUCCCUGUGACCUUGAGUCCGGGACUUGCACCGCAUCUUACCAACUUAGCCGUUUUAAAAUUGAACCUGGAACUUCUCUAGAGCAACGAAUUUGAUGGAGCCAUUCACAUUAAAUGUUGAUACGGUUUUGCGGUCUUCUGCUACCAAAAGUCCAAGCAAGAACAAGAAUCAUGCUUAAAGUGAUGAAAGCGAUGACGGUCCCUCAAGACAAUCUCAUGAUCAAAGGCUUUGGAGAUUAGCUUUACUACGGUUUUUUACUUGGAAUGUGAGUUUGACAAUUUGUCAUGGCAAGCUGUAGCGUGAGGCAGGGUGCGCACAUGGCUGGAGAAUGGUGAGCCAAAAUUUUCCUUUGCUGACUGCAUGAUGUUGUUGAUGCCAAUAAGCUCAACACUUUCUACUCCAAGAAUACGGUCAAAUUCCCUCUCGUCGUGCAUCUCAACAAGGGCGGCCAAUCCAAGUAAUUUGCAUAUUUUAACCAUGUUCUUGAUGUCAAGAUCAGGUAAAACAACGGCAAUUAGAAGGACUGC